UACGGGGGGAGCAAGCGUUGUUCGGAUUUACUGGGCGUAAAGGGCGCGUAGGCGGCCAGCGCAAGUCAGUUGUGAAAUCUCCGGGCUUAACUCGGAAAGGUCAACUGAUACUGCGCGGCUAGAGUGCAGAAGGGGCAACUGGAAUUCUCGGUGUAGCGGUGAAAUGCGUAGAUAUCGAGAGGAACACCUGCGGCGAAGGCGGGUUGCUGGGCUAACACUGACGCUGAUGCGCGAAAGCCAGGGGAGCGAACGGG
rnacentral:rRNA from 1 species